UCACCAGACUCCUACGGGAGGCAGCAGUGAGGAAUAUUGGUCAAUGGGCGCGAGCCUGAACCAGCCAAGUCGCGUGAGGGAUGACGGCCCUACGGGUUGUAAACCUCUUUUGCCGGGGAGCAACGGGCGCCACGUGUGGCGCCACUGAGAGUACCCGGAGAAAAAGCAUCGGCUAACUCCGUGCCAGCAGCCGCGGUAAUACGGAGGAUGCGAGCGUUAUCCGGAUUUAUUGGGUUUAAAGGGUGCGCAGGCGGAAUGUCAAGUCAGCGGUAAGAUUUCGGGGCUCAACCCCGUCGUGCCGUUGAAACUGGCGUUCUUGAGUGAGCGAGAAGUAUGCGGAAUGCGUGGUGUAGCGGUGAAAUGCAUAGAUAUCACGCAGAACUCCGAUUGCGAAGGCAGCAUACCGGCGCUCAACUGACGCUCAUGCACGAAAGCGUGGGUAUCGAACAGGAUUAGAUACCCCGGUAC
rnacentral:rRNA from 1 species